ensembl:snoRNA
AGAUUAUUUCAGAGAGGCUGGAGUGGCUAUGAAACCAAAUGCACUUAAGCAGUAGCCAAAGACCCAGAAACUCCAAGGAUUGCCAGGGCCACUCUGUAGUGUUGACUUCCUGCGAGAGGUAAAGUU